UACAGAGGUGGCAAGCGUUGUUCGGAAUUACUGGGCGUAAAGGGCGCGUAGGCGGUUUUGUAAGUCCCGCGUGAAAUCCCCCGGCUCAACUGGGGAACUGCGUGGGAAACUGCGAGGCUUGAGUUCGGGAGAGGGAAGCGGAAUUCCGGGUGUAGCGGUGAAAUGCGUAGAUAUCCGGAGGAACACCGGUGGCGAAGGCGGCUUACCUGGACCGGACACUGACGCUGAGGCGCGAAAGCUAGGGGAGGCAAACGGG
rnacentral:rRNA from 1 species